rnacentral:SRP_RNA from 1 species
UCGUGCAGCCGGGGUGUUAGCGGUACCUUGUACCUGCAAUCCGCUAUAGCAGGGGUGAUGCUGCGCAGAGGGCUUGUUUUGCAGAGCUGCCCUUGGUAAGUGGCACUGAAGUCCGGGUCUUACGCGACGGAAAUCCGUGAACCGUGUCAGGUCGGGAACGAAGCAGCACUAAGCGGAACCUUCCGGGUGCCGUAAGGGUGCCUGGGCCGAGUCAACUGCCAAGGUAACGUCUGUGAAGUCUCGUUCGAAGCGCAGCGCACGA